CAUAGCUGCUUGUUUGUGUCUCGAUUUCAGAAAAUACACUUGGAUUAAAGUGCCCUUGACCUUACAGGUAAUCAUGCUGUUGGGGAAGCUGUUUACGUGCUGCAGAGGGAAUUCAGAGUGUGUUUCCUUUUAUAGCGCACAGCAUAGGAUGGCAUCUUUCCAGGGUCUACAUGAUAAAGAGCGGAGCUGGAGAAGUUGGGAAGAGAUCCAGAUCAAUUACAGUAUGUGUACAGAGCUGACUGAAUCAACAAAUUGAUUUUGAUCACUGCACAUUGGGAACCAGGGAAAAAAAGGAUGGAAAAGAAAAUGCUAGAGCUCUCUGUGUUUGCUCACUGUUUUUUUUUUUUUUUCUGGUCGAGAGUUGAAUUAUUAUUUGGUAGAGGCUCUAUGUGCAGCUUCAAACAUUAAGUCAUCUUUAAAUGUAUAUGUGUGCAGAGCAAGUUCCCUGACUACAGCCAAUGCCAUGGCAUCAAAACGGUAUAAGUACAAGAAGGUCAGGUAACUUGUAAUUAUGAGUUCGAUAAAGACGUUUGUACUCGUUAUCUAUUACGCUAAUCACAGCAAUUCUUCAUUCUUACUUUUUAGAUCUCUUGUUUUCACAUAAUUUAAACCUUUUUAAUAACACAAACACCUCUUCAUUAUCACUUAGGAAGGCGUAACAAUUUUUGGACAAAUUGAAGUCAUUCUUAUUUUGUAAAGCACUGUUGCAUUUUAUUUAUCGACAGAAGUCUGCCUGAUAUUUUUUUCACUAUAGUCUGUGCUAUUCUGUAGUGAGAAGACACACAGGAGCCUGUGCUUGCUUUCUUUCGAUCAGCAGGUACAGUGUUUUUGUAUUUCACAGUUAGAAUGAUGUUUAAUUCAAAAGCAAGGAGGAAACAUGGAGACCUCCAUAUGGAACAGAGCAAUAUCACAGAUAGUAAUGAAAGAAGCCUCAAAAUAUACGGUAUAGGGCAUCAAGAGAAGCAACUUUUGUCCCAUGAUGUAUAUGUAUGACACAUUUAGAUCAUGAAGUUACAAUGGGGUUCCAACAAAAAAGAAAUACAAUGCAAUGUAAUGAAAAUAUGUCACUCAUAAAACUCUUGAAAAUAGGUUUUCUUAACAUUCUGUAAAACUAAACAUCUUGUGUAGAAGAAAUGAAACUGAGUAAACCAAUGAAAUUAGAGAUGUCAGACUAACUCAUUUGAAUUUUUUGCAGUUUACAGCUAGUGAUAGGGCCUGGUUUCACAAACAGGGCUUAGAUUAAGCCAGGAUUAGACCUUAGUUCGAUUAGAAAUAAUAACAAAAAUACAAUAAUAUUUUCUCAUCUUGCACACACAAAACAACACUUCAACAAUUAAUUUACCCAUCCAGUCUCAACACAAAAGAAAUUAAGCAACAAGAAUGACAAGAAUGUGACAAGAAUGUUGCAUUAGCUAAUAUUAAUUAAAAGGAUAGUUCAAAAAUAAACAUUUGGUGAUGAUUUAAUCACUCUCAUGUCCUUCCAAACCUAUAUGAUUUUCUCCUGUCUAAGCAACAAAAAUGAAAGAUGUAUUUAUUCUAAAUGUCUCAAUGUUUUCUGUCCACAAUGCAAGUCACUGAGGUGCAAAGUUGUUUGGAUCACAUCAAUUUUCAAAAAUAUAAGAAAUUGCAUUUUUAUGUGACUUUCUCCACAGUAUACCUAUAUAGCUCUAUAGUGCUUCCAGGUCACUUGUUUGACUCCCUGGACAAACAUGACCUGGGAAUGGUUAGGAUUUCAAAGUCCUGUCCCCACAUUCUCAACACAUGCUCCGCUCCAGCUAGUUCUUAAUUGCAGUUUUCUAUAAACCUGCCCUGGAGGUAAAACAAGUGCUUUGAAUAAUUUAUCGAAGCGUGUAAGACAAUUUAGAAGGGGAUGUUCAUUUAAAAUUUAGAAUCAGAAGACUCUUUUCAUUAACCUCCUGCCAAACGAACACGGAAUUGUAAUUAAGAGAUGAGGCGCGGCUGAUUGGCAAGGCUGACAUUCGAAAGGAGAAACAAGCCUACGAGAACGGAAUAUUUUCUUGUUGUACUUACUGUCAAAUACUUAAGGGAUUAGAAAUCAAUGAAACAAAUUCCCCUUAACAUGCAUAUGGAGGGAAGCACAGUCAUAAUUACUCCAAUUAAGCAUUCUGCACGGGAUAAAGGUGUAUGUAUGUGUGUGUGUGUGUGUGUGUGUGUGAGAUUUGGAAGGCUUAUGUAGAUCAUGUAAAGUCCACAGUCAUGAAGACAUUGCCACUGUAGCUGAACCUUGUGACCUGCUUCUAACAGGGGAACAAGCUAUGUUUAUCUGCAUAUUUGAUAAAAGCAAUUACUAGCAUUCCCUGGCCACAGUAACUGCUGUCUUUACAAAUACAUAUCUGCUCAGAAUGAGACACCACAGUCGUUUAAUUAAUAACAGUGCAUGUUGUAAAUUGGUGAAUCCUCAUGAAAACAUGUCCAGGUCACACAUUCUGCUCACAAAACGAGGUACUCGUGGCAUGUACCAGCAGGGGUAAUUAGAUUACCAUGCAAACCAGCCAAACCCUGACUGCUGGAUAUGUUUUUACAUUUACAGUUAUGCUUUUCGCAGACACUUUCAUCUAAAGCCACUUACACUACACAUUUUAUCAGUUCAUGCAUUCUCUUGGAAUCGAAUCUACAGUAUACCGAUAACAAAAUGUUCUGAAGGGAAAAAAACAAUUCCUCCCAACUAAUGCUGUAAACUAUACAGGAAACUCUCUCAUUUGCUACAUUAUUAUAAUAUUAGAUGUUAAAAUAACAACAGAGCUAUUGUCAAACACUGUGUUAAAGAUCAGAUACGAACACGAUGAUGAAGAGAGAAUGCAGUCUUUAAUAAAUCCAAACAAGACCUUAACACACGUGUAACACUGACAAUACCCGACAAUGGUGAACAGAAACAAGGGAACUUAAGCCCUGUCCACACAAAGCCAGAUCUUUCCCUAUCCGAUCUUUUUUUUUCCUCGUCUCAAGAAAUAUCUGCGUAGACAUGAAACCGCUGAAAACGGCUGAAAACGGCUGAAAACGGCUCAAAACGACGUAGUAUACAUGCCAGACCAGUAUGUGGCGCUGUAAUUCUGCCACAGAGAUACACUUAAAACAGCGAAUACGACUUGGAGCAUGCACAUAAACCUUAGAAAAGGUUUAGAAAGUGUUAUUUCUAAAGCUUAGAAAUAACACUUUAUUUUGUCUCAGUAGCUUCUGCAGCAUGAACUCAUGCAUCUAGAGUCUGCUAUUGUUGUUGUUGUUGCCGUUUUGUGCUGUUAGCGGUGUCUGACUAGGGUCGACACGUGG